rnacentral:lncRNA from 1 species
CUUAGCUUUCCGGCCUGGUCGGUCUCUACCACCACUUUCUCAUUAGCUGGCUUCUGAGAGGGCGAGGCGGAAGAGGCCGUAAGAAUCUGGCAGCGAUGGCAGGAAUAUCUGCAGUGACUUCCUGAGCACCUGCUGCACAGCCUGGCCCCUCACUGGCCUUGGGAGGAUGGAAAGCACAGCAGACUGGGGAGGAAGAACAUUUCUUCCCUUGGAGAGGCUCAAAAGAGGCUCAGAGGAAGUGAGAAGAAGGCUGUAGUAAGAAAAAAGAGAAAAACAACAGAAAUGAGGCAAAAGUAACAAGGGAGCCAUGUUGCUGUGGAGAUUAGCACGCUGAUGUCAGAAUUUUUGGUAUGAGGAAUCAUGCCCUGCAAGAGGUAAGGAGACAGAAAAGUGUCUAAAAUCUUGUCUUUCCUCUAAAGCUUUCUAAUUUGUUUAAAAAUUAAG